GACGAACGCUGGCGGCGUGCUUAACACAUGCAAGUCGAACGGAAAGGCCCUGCUUUUGUGGGGUGCUCGAGUGGCGAACGGGUGAGUAACACGUGAGUAACCUGCCCUUGACUUUGGGAUAACUUCAGGAAACUGGGGCUAAUACCGGAUAGGAGCUCCUGCUGCAUGGUGGGGGUUGGAAAGUUUCGGCGGUUGGGGAUGGACUCGCGGCUUAUCAGCUUGUUGGUGGGGUAGUGGCUUACCAAGGCUUUGACGGGUAGCCGGCCUGAGAGGGUGACCGGCCACACUGGGACUGAGAUACGGCCCAGACUACUACGGGAGGCAGCAGUGGGGAAUAUUGCACAAUGGGCGGAAGCCUGAUGCAGCAACGCCGCGUGCGGGAUGACGGCCUGCGGGUUGUAUUCCGCUUUCGCCUGUGACGAAGCGUGAGUGACGGUAAUGGGUAAAGAAGCACCGGCUAACUACGUG
rnacentral:rRNA from 1 species